rnacentral:rRNA from 1 species
GCGCGCUUAACACAUGCAAGUCGCACGAGAAAGGGAGCAAUCCCAAGUAAAGUGGCGCACGGGUGAGUAACACGUGGAUCAUCUACCUUCUGGUGGGGAAUACCCCCGGGAAACUGGGGACAAUUCCGCAUAAGUCCGAGAGGAGAAAGCAGCAAUGCGCCGGAAGAGGAGUCCGCGGCUGAUUAGCUUGUUGGCGGGGUAACAGCCCACCAAGGCGAAGAUCGGUAGCCGGCCUGAGAGGGCACACGGCCACACUGGCACUGAAACACGGGCCAGACUCCUACGGGAGGCAGCAGUGGGGAAUCUUGCACAAUGGGGGAAACCCUGAUGCAGCGACGCCGCGUGAGCGAUGAAGCCCUUCGGGGUGUAAAGCUCUUUCGACGGGAACGAUGAUGACGGUACCCGAAGAAGAAGCUGCGGCUAACUACGUGCCAGCAGCCGCGGUAAUACGUAGGCAGCAAGCGUUGUUCGGAAUUACUGGGCGUAAAGAGUGUGUAGGCGGUGCUCUAAGUUCGGUGUGAAAUCUCCCGGCUCAACUGGGAGGGUGCGCCGGAAAC